rnacentral:lncRNA from 1 species
GCCGUGUCAUGAUGUCGUGAAGUCGCUCAGUCGUGUCUGACUCUUUGUGACCCCAUGGACUGUAGCCCACCAGGCUCCUCCAUCCAUGGAAUUUUCUAGGCAAGAGUACUGGAGUGGAUUGCCAAAUAGGCACACCUUAUUCUUAACCUUAAGCCUUGUGUUAAGUCAUCAUGGAACAUUUGCCCAAGAAUAGCUUUGAGAAUUUUCCUUAUGAAGAGAAAGGGGUUCAGCCUAGAGGCAUGCAGUAUCUAGUAUGUGUGAGCUCUUUUGGAAUGAGUAUUUGAUGAUAUGGAGUGAAACAGGGCAACUCAGUGCUUCUCUGCUGGAGAUGAAUAUGCUCCAGCCUGGGCCAAUCAGCCAGAACUAAGAGGAGAGAGAUAUUAGUAUCCAGGAAGAUGACUGCCACCGGGGCACAUUUAACUUCAUGAAACCAGCUUGUGGUUUCAGCUCUUGGUGUGCAGUGGUGCUAAUGGUGCUGAUUAGAGUAUGGGGAGAAGACUGUGUGGGAGAACUAAUAUCUCAUUUCAGUCUCUCCAGGGCACCGUUUCCUGAACUGUGUUUUUGCCGAGUAUUAGGAUUUCUCAAGAUGUCAACACAUUGCUGAGACCAAGGUCCUUUUUCUCUCUGAACAUCGGAUAUUGUCAACAUGAGCCAUAGUCCAGAGGGUGAGCUGUUAAGCUGGGAUAACAAGGAGCUCUCAGAGCAUUUGGAGCCUUGGCACCUACAUGGCAAUUUUGAAGCUUUUCUUUUUAAAACGGGGUUUCAAGACAAUCUCCUGCCAUCUCCACUUACUCCUGAGUAAGAGGAUUCUAAUGAAGUCGCCAUGGGUGAUGAGGCUCAGCCCCGCGGUCCUCUCCUGCAGGGACUGUUUCUGCUGCCUGGUUGCUAGUGGCGCAACUGCCGUCUUUAUCUUUGGGAUCUGCAGGGAAAGAUGCUCAGAGAAGGAGGUGUGUUUUCUUGGAAAAUCUAGAGAGCCAUUCCGAAGCAGAAAUGGUGAGAGUAUUAACACCAUCUGGGACUGGCAGCUUUACCACAUCAGUCCACACACAGGAAACAGUGAAUCUCAGCUAUGUAGGGCUGUGGGUCCUGAAGGAAGCCUCUG